rnacentral:rRNA from 1 species
UACGGGGGGAGCAAGCGUUGUUCGGAUUUACUGGGCGUAAAGGGCGCGUAGGCGGCCACCGCAAGUCGGUUGUGAAAUCUCCGGGCUUAACCCGGAAAGGUCAACCGAUACUGCGGGGCUAGAGUGCAGAAGGGGCAACUGGAAUUCUCGGUGUAGCGGUGAAAUGCGUAGAUAUCGAGAGGAACACCUGCGGCGAAGGCGGGUUGCUGGGCUGAUACUGACGCUGAUGCGCGAAAGCCAGGGGAGCGAACGGG